GUCAGCUUUGGGAUCUCAGUUAUCUGCCAAUGGGGAAACAAUUACACAACAGUAUACAGUGAUUUCACCAUAUUCUUGAAAUUUUAUAAUGAAAUAUUAGGAAGUGUCAAUCACACUAAAUUCACUGCAUUUUUUGGUCAUUUGACUAGAUUGUAUCUACACCUUCUACCAAUAAACAAGCCAGACAAUGAAGAAAAAAUUAACCCAUUAGAAUGAAAUCAAAAUCAAAGUCAGGUAAAAAGUAACUGCCCAUCAAUUUCUAAUUUACAUUGCACUUGGAAUCAAAUGAAUAUGGAAUUCAUUUCAUUGUAAAUGAAUUAUCAUAAUGUUCAUGUUGGUAUCUUAUCUAUUAAUAAAUAGAAUUCAUUUUAAAAACAUAUGAUAUGUAUAUGUAGUUUAAAAGUCAAUUGCAAAUUCUACGAGUUUUGAUAAAUUUGGCUGAAGUAUAACUAAGUUGAUGGAAAUAAAGAUAGAAUUCUAAAUGAAUUUUAUGGGGUUCCACACAUGUCAAGUGCGGAUUUGUAAAUGAAUUCCAGCAAUUUUAUGAAAUUCAUUUUUUUCAAACAGCCUCUAAACAUAAUCAGAUUCCCCCUUGUGAAUAUCACUUUUAAGCAUUUAUUGCCUCAUAUCAAGAUGCUUCCACUAUUUUUCUA
rnacentral:misc_RNA from 1 species